rnacentral:lncRNA from 1 species
GACAAAAAUUAGAAAGCAAAUAAUGUCAUAUGAAUUAACUACUUAUACAUAUGUAGUAAAUAAAGCAUUAAUAAUUAAAAAGGAAGCUAAUGAAGAAGUCAGAAGAAGUGAAAUAGAUCAAAUGAUUCUCAAAGAUAGAGUAAUAAAAAUACUGAGGGCUCGAAUAAGAGGUCAGCGAGUGACAACUCUGAGUCAUUUGAUAGCAUUAGAUAUUCUAGGUAUGGUAAAGCU